CCUCAUUUCUCACUUGUAACCUUAAGAGGUAAGUGAAGUAUAUCUGAAUAUAUAUUCUUAAGCCUCCACAAGAAUGUUAAAUGCAAUAUCAGAACUCUUGAGGCACCGUUGGACAUGGAGAGUGACGGGGUGUGUCGAGCAUUGUGGGGUUCUACUGCUACGCCCUGAGUCCUUCGGCCCAAUACUUGAUGGGAGCAUGGAGCCUGGUGAAGAAAGUGGUGUACAGCUUGGUAAGCGCACUUGUGUGUACCUCCACGCUUCUCGUUCACAGGGACAGCUGCGCGUGGGCACGUCGGAGGGGUCCGUUUUUCAAAACACUGGUAGGUUUUGCAGCCUUGGUGAUUACCUCAGUCUUUUCCUUUUUGGAAGAUCGCAGAAGAAGGGAAGAAGGAAAGUGGGUAUGGCAAAACGAUGAACGUGAUUUCUGGUGCGGCAUUUGCCUCCAUGGCCAUGAGCUUCUCCAUGGAACUGGAACUUGGAUUCGAAGUUGGCGUCUCUAAUUUCAUGAUUGGGUGGUUCUUGGUGAGGGCCAUGAAGGUGAGGUUAAUGAUAGCUAUAGUUGCAACACUGUUCUGUUAUAUGCUUCUCAACCUCCGUUAUAUCCCUCAUAUCCUGCGCCCAAGGGGUGCUUAUGAAGAUCGAUGUGGCACUAGGAUUUUUUUUAAUAUAUCCCAUAACGUUCAACACUAUUGAGCUUGGUACGUAAAAAAAUAUAAAUCUCCCGUCUAUUUUUAAGAAUCUAAGAUUUUAAUCUUAGUUGUUAUCUGGGUAAAUCUAAAGUAGUGGUUGAUGCUUUGAGAAGGAAACAUCUAUAUUCAUCUUUCUUUAUGGUUAAAGAGAUGUACCUUUUGGCUCAAAUUAGGAAUUUAAGUUUGACUUGUAAAAUUACUCCUAAUAGUAGGAAACUAGGUAUGACUCGAGUAACGAGUAGAUUGUUGAAGGGUGUUGGAUAAGCAUAAUUAGUCGAUUCAUUUUGGUGGCAAGGUAUGAGUCUAUAGGACAAGAUAGUAAAUAAGAAUUUGCCUGGGGUAUAAAUGAAGUGGUAAGACUUGAAGAUCGAGUAUGAGUACAUAGUGAACUUACACUUAGGCGUCUAAUCCUUGGAGAGGGUUAUAAAAGUAAAAUUAAUAUAGUGACAAAUGUCCUGAGUAGGAUGAGCAUUUAUCUAUCAUUUUGAUGAUGUAAGGGUUGAAUUUGAUUGAGGAUAUUAGAAACUUAAGCGUGAUGUGUGAGCUCAUCCUUAGGAGCAUUGAAUUGAGUAUGUUGAAAUGGACUAAUAGAUUAAUAGAUGUGAUUAGAGGACCCAGGAGUUAAAUCCUUUCUUAGUGAGCCAAGUGGAAAAGAUUGGUAGGGAUAUAAAUGGCCCUUUUACGAGUGGAAGUUAUGGUGUUUUGGGGUUCAUGGAUAGAAUCUAUGUGCCUAGUAAACCCAAAUUAAGGAAGAUGAUAUUAGAGAAAGAAUAUAAGAAUACUCUUAGCAUUCAUUUAGGAGUUACUAAAAUGUAUCAGAGUAGCGCAGCGGAAGCGUGAUGGUUUAAGAUGAAAAGAGAAGUAGAGGAGAUGGUUAGAGUUCUUUAAGAAUUAUGAAUUUUAAUUGAAUUAUCACCCUUGUAAGGCGUAUGUUGUAGCUGACACUUUAAGUAGAAAAUCUUUGAGAGUGCUUUCUUUGAUGAUUAGGGAAUUGCAUAUGAUUGAGGAGUUUAAGGAUAUGAGUUUAGGGUGUAAGUUGACCUCUAAGAGUAUUAAGUUAGGAGUUUUGAGAGUGAUUAAUAGCUUGAUAGAUGCGAUUAAAGAAGGUUAGAAGGUAGAUCCUUUCUUAUUAAGUCAAGUAGAGAAGUUGAAUCAAGGUGUAGAGAGUGAGUUUAGAUUUGAAAUGGAUAGAGUGAUGAGAUUUAAGGAUAGGUUGUGCAUUCCUAGUGUGUCAGAGCUUAAAGGAGCAAUCCUAGAAGAAGGUCAUAGGAGUAGCCUUAGCAUCCAUCCAGGAGCCAUUAAGAUAUACCAAGGCCUUAAAAAGGUGUUUUGGUGGUCAAAGACGAAGAAGGAAGUGUAGAAAUUUGUGUAUGCUUGCUUAGUGUACUAUCCGUACUUCGCAAUCGGGCUCCGAGCUCGGGUUAUCAACGCGGGGCGACCCCGGACAACUAGUUGUCUGGUGUCAGCCCGGUAUUUGAGCAAAUCACAACUGAAACCCGGGAUCCCGCCCCAGACGGGCUCCCUCAUCUAAUUACAUCGCAACAUAUCCUAUCUCAGGCCCAAGGUCCAAGACAAACCUAAAUCACUUCAAGGUACGUGCAUUAUAUAUACGAGACUAUUAUUCAUACAAACACUAACUUUGGCAUCGGAGUCUCUUUUGCAGGUACCUCCCCCAUCUUGGAGCACCAAUACAUCAGGCAAAGAAGGCUCACCGAUCUUACUGGACGAGUCACCUCUACGACCAAAUUCCGAUUCAAGAGAACAUGAAAGCAAUCGAUGUCAUUCCAUUACUGACUCCUGUUGUGAUGGAGAAGAUUGAAGCUGUUGUUCAAAGCAAGCCAAAGCGCCCAGAUUCCUACCGAUAAAUUGAAGUAUUUCCAAGGGAUACACAUCUUAUAUAUGAAUUGGAUCGGAUGGGAGGCUCCAACAUACUCCCACUGCUUUGGAGUGGAGAUUCAUGUUGAAAUUAAUUUGUGUGAUUGUUGAUGUGAUUCCUUCAAGACUUUUCUCCCUUUUUUUUUCAUCUGGUUCUGAAUAUGCCUUGUCUUUUAUGGGUUCAAACUUUCCAAAUUGAUUUUAGAACCAAAGGAUUAAGAUCUAUGAGUUUUUGUUUACAUUGGCCAUCGAGAUUAAUUUAUACCAAGAUUGGAUAGUAUUGAUAUAUUUUUUUAAAUGUCAGACUAAUAUUUGGAUUUUGAGAGGCCAA